rnacentral:rRNA from 1 species
UACGUAGGCAGCAAGCGUUGUUCGGAAUUACUGGGCGUAAAGAGUGUGUAGGCGGUGCUCUAAGUUCGGUGUGAAAUCUCCCCGGCUUAACUGGGAGGGUGCGCCGGAAACUGGAGUGCUUGAGCGCGGGAGAGGAAAGCGGAAGUCCUGGUGUAGCGGUGAAAUGCGUAAAUAUCUGGAGGAAUACCGGUGGCGAAGGCGGCAUCCUGGACCGGCAUUGACGCUGAUGAGCGAAAGCUAGGGGAGCAAACGGGG